AUUUAGCACAAGUCCAGGAAACACUUAGAGGACUGAGCUGAGACGUCGGCAUGGGUUGCAACUCCAGCAAGAGCACCUCUGCGGUGGACCCCUCUAAGAAGCCAACUGAGGACCCCCCGGGUGAAAGUGUGACCGAGGAGCAGGAGAUGGAUCAGAGUCCCAAAUCUUCAGCUGAACAGGGGGACACGUCUGUGACGACGGAGGUGGAAGUCAGCUGAAGGCAGAAACCUCCUUGUCAGCCCCCCCUACCCCACCUCACCCCACCGUACUUGCUUAUGGAGUUGGAUGUCAUAGCUGGAACCAACUCCUUCUUGCUAUUCAUGGCUACUUUAUUGUGGUACUGUCACUAAGCUGGACCAUGGGAGGAGGCCUGAGGGAUGUAGGACAACCACACGUGCUGUUCUUCUAGAAGCUUCUGCUGAUGUUCAGGUGCUACAUACAGAAGUCAUCCAACCUUAUCAAUGAUGGCAUUUAAUGGCAUUAGCCUGAUUUUUUUCCCUCUGGGUCCUCAAGAAGCCUCUUCUACCAACCAUUUGGCUCACUUUAGCUCUAGUUGAUAUAAUUUGCUUCAUAAUCUCAAAGAAUGAAGAUCUUUUAAACCUGGCCAUGUCAUUUGAUAAGAUCAUCUGGUGCGUUUUUACAGCUGCUGUGUGGUGGCCCCCACUACAGAAUCACUGCAUGUCUCCAUCUGCCAUGCUGCAGCAGAACUGGAUGAGCCCACAGAUCCCAAUGACUGCUGACUUUCUUCACUGUGGUGGGCAUGGAGACUCUUCCUGUGCAGCCUGAUCCAAUGCUUAUCAUGGAAGUCAUCACUUCAGCCAAGGAUUGGACUAGGGGGCACCACAGCUGGUGUGAAACUGAUGGGGCGGGAGGGUUUGGAUCUGAUUUACCCCAGAAUAAGACGGUGGGGCUGGGUAGUAGGCUUAUUUUUGUAUUUAUGUUGUAUUUCUUAAAUACUUGUAGUAAUUCUUCAAUUUGUGAAUACACACACACACACACACACACACACACACACAAAUGUUCAACGUACUCAAACAAAUCUGACGUGUAACUUUUCUCCAAAUAAACGCAACUUGUGAUUGUC